rnacentral:rRNA from 2 species
UGCCUACGGGUGGCAGCAGUGGGGAAUAUUGGACAAUGGGCGCAAGCCUGAUCCAGCCAUGCCGCGUGAGUGAUGAAGGCCCUAGGGUUGUAAAGCUCUUUCGGCGGGGACGAUAAUGACGGUACCCGCAGAAGAAGCCCCGGCUAACUUCGUGCCAGCAGCCGCGGUAAUACGAAGGGGGCUAGCGUUGUUCGGAAUCACUGGGCGUAAAGCGCACGUAGGCGGAUCGUUAAGUCGGGGGUGAAAUCCCGAGGCUCAACCUCGGAACUGCCUUCGAUACUGGCGAUCUUCGAGUCCGGGAGAGGUGAGUGGAACUCCGAGUGUAGAGGUGAAAUUCGUAGAUAUUCGGAAGAACACCAGUGGCGAAGGCGGCUCACUGGCCCGGUACUGACGCUGAGGUGCGAAAGCGUGGGGAGCAAACAGGAUUAGAUACCCUUGUAGUCCCG